rnacentral:rRNA from 1 species
UACGUAGGGUGCAAGCGUUGUUCCGGAAUUAUUGGGCGUAAAGAGCUUGUAGGCGGUUUGUCGCGUCUGCUGUGAAAUUUCGGGGCUCAACCCCGAACUUGCAGUGGGUACGGGCAGACUAGAGUGUGGUAGGGGGAGGACUGGAAUUCCUGGUGUAGCGGUGAAAAUGCGCAGAUAUCAGGAGGAACACCGAUGGCGAAGGCAGGUCUCUGGGCCAUAACUGACGUGAGAAGCGAAAGCAUGGGGGAGCGAACAGG